CCUACGGGAGGCAGCAGUGGGGACUAUUGGGCAAUGGGCGCAAGCCUGACCCAGCAACGCCGCGUGAAGGAAGAAGGCUUUCGGGUUGUAAACUUCUUUUGUCAGGGAAGAGUAGAAGACGGUACCUGACGAAUAAGCCACGGCUAACUACGUGCCAGCAGCCGCGGUAAUACGUAGGUGGCAAGCGUUGUCCGGAUUUACUGGGUGUAAAGGGCGUGUAGCCGGGUUGACAAGUCAGAUGUGAAUUCCUGCGGCUUAACCGCAGAACUGCAUUUGAAACUGUUGAUCUUGAGUACUGGAGAGGCAGACGGAAUUCCUAGUGUAGCGGUGAAAUGCGUAGAUAUUAGGAGGAACACCAGUGGCGAAGGCGGUCUGCUGGACAGUAACUGACGGUGAGGCGCGAAAGCGUGGGGAGCAAACAGGAUUAGAUACCCGGGUAGUC
rnacentral:rRNA from 1 species